rnacentral:rRNA from 1 species
UGCCAGCAGCCGCGGUAAUACGUAGGGUGCGAGCGUUAAUCGGAAUUACUGGGCGUAAAGCGUGCGCAGGCGGUGCUGUAAGACCGAUGUGAAAUCCCCGGGCUUAACCUGGGAACUGCAUUGGUGACUGCAGCGCUGGAGUAUGGCAGAGGGGGGUGGAAUUCCACGUGUAGCAGUGAAAUGCGUAGAGAUGUGGAGGAACACCGAUGGCGAAGGCAGCCCCCUGGGCCAAUACUGACGCUCAUGCACGAAAGCGUGGGGAGCAAACAGGAUUAGAUA